GAAGCGGUAACAGCUCAAAUUUGAAAUCUGGCCUCACGGNUCCGAGNUUGUAAUUUGUAGAGGAUGCUUCGAGCAUGGUCUGGCCCAAGUUCCUUGGAACAGGACGUCAUAGAGGGUGAGAAUCCCGUAUGCGGCCAGGUGCCUACGCUCAUGUGAAGCUCCUUCGACGAGUCGAGUUGUUUGGGAAUGCAGCUCAAAAUGGGUGGUAAAUUUCAUCUAAAGCUAAAUAUUGGCCAGAGACCGAUAGCGCACAAGUAGAGUGAUCGAAAGAUGAAAAGCACUUUGGAAAGAGAGUUAAACAGUACGUGAAAUUGUUGAAAGGGAAGCGCUUGCAACCAGACUUGCGCGCGGCCGAUCAUCCGGUGUUCUCACCGGUGCACUCGGCCGUGCUCAGGCCAGCAUCGGUUUUGGCGGAUGGAUAAAGGCCCUAGGAAUGUAGCUCCUCUCGGGGAGUGUUAUAGCCUAGGGUGCAAUGCAGCCUGCUGGGACCGAGGACCGCGCUUCGGCUAGGAUGCUGGCGUAAUGGUUGUAAGCGGCCCGUCUUGAAACACGGACCAAGGAGUCUAACAUCUAUGCGAGUGUUUGGGUGUCAAACCCAUACGCGUAAUGAAAGUGAACGGAGGUGAGAACCCUUAAGGGUGCAUCAUCGACCGGUCCUGAAGUUUACGGAAGGAUCUGAGUAAGAGCAUAGCUGUUGGGACCCGAAAGAUGGUGAACUAUGCCUGAAUAGGGUGAAGCCAGAGGAAACUCUGGUGGAGGCUCGCAGCGGUUCUGACGUGCAAAUCGAUCGUCAAAUUUGGGUAUAGGGGCGAAAGACUAAUCGAACCAUCUAGUAGCUGGUUCCUGCC
rnacentral:rRNA from 1 species